AACGAACGCUGGCGGCAUGCCUAACACAUGCAAGUCGAACGAAACCUUCGGGUCUAUUGGCGCACGGGUUCGUAACGCGUGGGAACCUGCCCUUAUGUUCGGAAUAACUCCCCGACUGGGGUGCUAAUACCGGAUAAUGUCUUCGGACCAAAGAUUUAUCGCAUUUGUAUGUGCCCUCGUUGGAUUAGCUAGUUGGUAGGGUAAAAGCCUACCAAGGGGACAAUCCACAGCUGGUCUGAGAGGAGGAUCAGCCACUCAGGGACUGAGACACGGCCGAGACUCCUACGGGAGGCAGCAGUGGGGAAUAUUGGAACAUGGGCGGAAGCCUGAUCCAGCAAUGACGGGUGAGUGAUGAAGGUAUUAGAGAUGUAAAGCUCUUUUACCCGGGAUGAUAAUGACAGUACCGGAAGAAUAAGCUCCGGCUAACUCCGUG
rnacentral:rRNA from 1 species